AACGAACGCUGGCGGCAGGCCUAACACAUGCAAGUCGAGCGCGCCUUCGGGUGAGCGGCGGCCGGGUGAGUAACGCGUGGGAAUAUGCCCUUCUCUACGGAAUAGUCCUGGGAAACUGGGGGUAAUACCGUAUACGCCCUUUGGGGGAAAGAUUUAUCGGGGAAGGCUUAGACCGCGUUGGAUUAGGUAGUUGGUGGGGUAAUGGCCUACCAAGCCGACGAUCCAUAGUUGGUUUGAGAGAAUGAUCAGCCACACUGGGACUGAGACACAGCCCAGACUCCUACGGGAGGCAGCAGUGGGGAAUCUUAGACAAUGGGGGCAACCCUGAUCGAGCCAGGCCGCGUGAGUGAUGAAGGCCUUAGGGUUGUAAAGCUCUUUCAGCUGGGAAGAUAAUGACGGUACCAGCAGAAGAAGCCCCGGCUAACUCCGUG
rnacentral:rRNA from 1 species